UAAGGAAUAUUGGUCAAUGGACGCAAGUCUGAACCAGCCAUGCCGCGUGCAGGAUGACGGCCCUACGGGUUGUAAACUGCUUUUAUACGGGAAAAAACUUCCGAUUUCGCAUCGGAAUUGAUGGUACCGUAAGAAUAAGGAUCGGCUAACUCCGUGCCAGCAGCCGCGGUAAUACGGAGGAUCCAAGCGUUAUCCGGAUUUAUUGGGUUUAAAGGGUGCGCAGGCGGAAUUGUAAGUCAGUGGUGAAAUCCUACAGCUUAACUGUAGAACUGCCAUUGAUACUGCAAUUCUUGAGUACAGUUGAAGUGGGUGGAAUGUGUCAUGUAGCGGUGAAAUGCUUAGAUAUGACACAGAACUCCAAUUGCGAAGGCAGCUCACUAAGCUGUAACUGACGCUCAUGCACGAAAGCGUGGGGAUCAAACAGG
rnacentral:rRNA from 1 species